rfam:Canis lupus familiaris chromosome 35, whole genome shotgun sequence.
UCAAAGGCUCUUUUCAGAGCCACCUAUAACUUCACAAAGAGAAAG